CGCCUCCUGGAAUUAUGGGAGGUCGCGCCUGCUCAAUGCCCUGCGGGGUGAAUAGCCGCGGUACCCUGACCGUGCUAAGGUAGCGUAAUCAUUAGCCUAUUAAUUGUUGGCCUGUAUGAAUGGCUGGACGCUGGUGAAACUGUCUCUAUUGUGUUUUAUUGAAAUUAACCUCUUGGUGAAAAGGCCAAGAUUGACCCGAAAGACGAUUAGACCCUGUCGAACUUUAGGCAAACUUUUUACAGCUCAAGCUUAGUAAAGAGAAAACCUUUGGUUGGGGAAACCGGGGACCAUAUAAAACGUCCACCCCCACUGCUGCCUAAGCUUAAGGGAAAGGUUUAACCGUUUCAGAAAAGAGAGGCCCCACUGGGCAUUUGUAGCUUCAUUCGAUCCAGAAGUAUGUUUCUGAUCAUGGGAAAAGUUACCGCAGGGAUAACAGCGUAAUCCCCCCGGCGAGACCACAUUAAAGGGGGGGUUUGCGACCUCGAUGUUGGCUUAGGGCACCCCGGAAGUGCAGGAGCUUCCACAGGUUGGUCUGUUCCACCACUAACGCCUUACGU
rnacentral:rRNA from 1 species